rnacentral:rRNA from 1 species
GAUGAACGCUGGCGGCGUGCCUAAUACAUGCAAGUCGAGCGUACAGACGAGGAGCUUGCUCCUCUGACGUUAGCGGCGGACGGGUGAGUAACACGUGGAUAACCUACCUAUAAGACUGGGAUAACUUCGGGAAACCGGAGCUAAUACCGGAUAAUAUAUUGAACCGCAUGGUUCAAUAGUGAAAGACGGUUUUGCUGUCACUUAUAGAUGGAUCCGCGCCGCAUUAGCUAGUUGGUAAGGUAACGGGUUACCAAGGCGACGAUGCGUAGCCGACCUGAGAGGGUGAUCGGCCACACGGGAACUGAGACACGGUCCAGACUCCUACGGGAGGCAGCAGUAGGGAAUCUGCCGCAAUGGGCGAAAGCAUGACGGAGCAACGCCGCGUGAGUGAUGAAGGUCUUCGGAUCGUAAAACUCUGUUAUUAGGGAAGAACAAAUGUGUAAGUAACUAUGCACGUCUUGACGGUACCUAAUCAGAAAGCCACGGCUAACUACGUG